CUCUUCUAUUGACAUACACUUUCUGACUAUGUUUCAGCAUUUCCUUCCUUGGCUUCAUUGCUAGUAUCCUACCUGGUAAAAACCAUAGAGAUUGUGAACCUCCCGGUGCUCCCAGUUGCCAUGGUGAACAGCAUCUCUCUGCAUGGUUUUUGAUGUACUUGGUAGGAUCCAAAGAGAAGAAACACAAACCUUAUAUGACCUGAAGGCAAACUGAUCUGCGUACCAUUCUCGGACUUCAGGACUGGUAAAAUCCAGCUUGUUGUUAUACCAACCAGUGACUUUAGCAGGAACACUGAAGACCUCUUGUUACAGUUCUCUUUUUAGAAUCCAGUUGUACCAGUUUGACUCAACUUUGCUUAUGUUUAUAAACAAUCUUAUGUAACAGCCUGAAUAGAAUUUAUGUUAUAUUGGACAAUUAGAGUACUGCUCUUUGCACAUGUUCAGUAACUUUAUGGUGCGAUGCACCUAGAUUGGGGUGGGCAAUAAACCAGAGGUAGUUCGCCAGGUUAGCUCCUGGCAGGCCACUGGCACUUUGUUUACUGUUUCUGGCCAAUGAGAGUGGUGGGAAGGAGCACGGACCAGGACACCACUUCCCCCAGCUGCCGUUGGCCAGGAACAGCGCUCUCGGUCCAUGGGAGUUGCAAGCAGCUGUGCUUCUGAACGUGCAGGUAAAUAAAGUGCAGGUGGCCUGCCAGGGGCUAACCCUGGUGAACCAUGCCUGACCCGAGGGCUGCUUAUUGUUCACCACUCAUCUAGAUUAUAUAUAUUUCUAAGAUGGUGGGGUGAUGUUUGACCCCCCCACUCUGCCCCAGACCCUGCCCCCACUCCAUCCAUUUCCCCCCUGGUCUCCAGUCAGCCUUUUAUGCACUUACCCUGGUUCAUUUCACAUCUUCUCCUAACCAUUUUCCA